rnacentral:lncRNA from 1 species
UGUGUGUGCGCGUGUAUCUCUGUGGGGGCGGGUGUGGAGUUCCGACCAGCGGCACCGUCCUCCCGCGAGGGAAACGGCCGGAGAGGAACGAAGCGAAGCGAGUGACAGCAAUGAUCGUUUGUUUGUUUGUUCUCAUGUGUCAUUGUAAUCGCACGGGAAGAAUUGCUAUGCGCAGGCGCAUGGGAUGCUACUAAAUACAGUGCUCAGGCGGGAGUAGGAAUAAGAAGUCGCACUUGUAGAAGAUAGACGAGUAAAUGAGAUUCUGGGAUUGGGAUGAAGAAAGGGAGCAACGAUCGGAGCAUUUGCAUUUGUUUAAGAGGAGCAUUCUUUUGUGGUGAGAAAAACAUAGGUGCCAGACUCCUUGUCGGCAAGACAACGAGGAAGAGUGUUUACUUCAUCCCAAGGGACCAGAUGGGGAUGCGACCAUCCAGAGGAGAAUACAAUGCGUGCGCCGGAGGGGAGGGACUUGAUUAAUGAAUACGUAGUGGGGUUCAACGUAAUGUAUGAACUUGACUUACAAAUAUGUAACAUUUCUGUGGACCGGUAUGCAAGUUAGGAGGAGCUAUCCCCCUUGCAUCCAGCUUUGCGCAGCGUUGAUUAAAACAUACCUGAU